CUCAUCUUCCAUCCUAAUCGUUCUCUCUUCCCAAAACGUCUGCCGAUCAAUAUUCUAUUGGACUUAAUGGUAUUGUCUCCUGAAGCUUUAAAUCAGCUUACCUUGGUCUCACUAAACCAUGAGAUUUUCUUUUCUCCCUCCAGUCUCAACUGCAGUCUCCUGUUACGACGCCGCUUUGCAUUCUCCGGUUCAACACAAUCGGCAAUAUCAGAGCUUAUGAAAGGAAAUUAAAGGCAAAUGAUUUCAAUUACCAGCAAAGUUUCUAUUGAUCCUACAGAGAUGUUCAGGUUCCAAUCUUUUGAGUAACUAAUGGCGUAAGCUAACACUAACGAGAUAU